rnacentral:tRNA from 1 species
GCUGGGGUGGCGGAAUGGUAGACGCGCACGACUCAAAAUCGUGUUCUCGUAAGGGAGUGAGGGUUCGAGUCCCUCGCCCAGCA